rnacentral:rRNA from 1 species
UAUGGGGGGGGCAAGCGUUGUUCGGAAUUACUGGGCGUAAAGGGCUCGUAGGCGGCCAACUAAGUCAGACGUGAAAUCCCUCGGCUUAACCGGGGAACUGCGUCUGAUACUGGAUGGCUAGAGUUUGGGAGAGGGAUGCGGAAUUCCAGGUGUAGCGGUGAAAUGCGUAGAUAUCUGGAGGAACACCGGUGGCGAAGGCGGCAUCCUGGACCAACACUGACGCUGAGGAGCGAAAGCCAGGGGAGCAAACGGG